rnacentral:rRNA from 1 species
GAUGAACGCUGGCGGCGUGCCUAAUACAUGCAAGUCGAGCGAACAGACGAGGAUCUUGCUCCUCUGACGUUUGCGGCGGACGGGUGAGUAACACGUGUAUACCCUACUUAUAAUACUGGUAUAACUUCGGGAAACCGGAGCUAAUACCGGAUAAUAUAUUGAACCGUAUUGUUCAAUAGUGAAAUACGGUUUUGCUGUCACUUAUAGAUGGAUCCGCGCCGCAUUAGCUAGUUGGGAAGGUAACGGCUUACCAAGGCAACGAUGCGUAGCCGACCUGAGAGGGUGGUAGGCCACCCUGGAACUGAGACACGGUCAAGGCUACUACGGGAGGGAGCAGUAGGGAAUGUUACGCAAUGGGCGAAAACAUGACGGAGCAACGCCGAGUGAGUGAUGAAGGUCUUCGGAUCGUAAAAAUCUGUUAUUAGGGAAGAACAAAUGUGUAAGUAACUAUGCACGUCUUGACGGUAACUAAUCAGAAAGCCACGGCUAACUACGUG